rnacentral:rRNA from 1 species
AUGAUCACAUGCCAGUGGUUCUUGACGGCGUUGUCGGUGCGGCCCGGGAAGAGCCUGGCGAUGACGGCCCACCGGUUGCCGUGGACGCGGUGCGAGGCGAGGAGCAGCUCCUCCUCCUCCUCCGAGAAGGGGCUCCGGUUGAUCCUCGGGUCCAGCUGGUUGAACCACCUCAGCCUGCAGCUCUUCCCUGAAACCACACAACGGGUCAUUUUCCAUGGGUUAAUUAAUCAUCUAAGAAGCUUAGACGAUGUGCUUCAACGACACCAUGGAUAG